AUGUGCGCCGGUGCAUCUCGCCGCUCGGAGGUAUCUGUGUCGGGAAGCCGGGGGCUGCGGCCGGGGUGGACAGCCAGCGCGUGGGCGCAGCGCGGGGGACGUCGCAGCGGGCACCGGCUGGUGAGGAGGACCCGACUGCUCCGGGGCGGUAGGCGCUGGCUCAUGCCUGACAGACAGCAGAGCACGAUCUGUCUGUGCGUGCAAGCCCGUGGCACGGAGGGAUCCGGCCCUGGAUACCCCCAGCCCUGCAAAACCCGUCCCCUCGUCUCCCUCGCUCGCAGCAUCCUCCCUCGCUCGCAGCAUCCUCCCUCCCGCACAGCUUCCCUGGACCGUGGGCGAGACAGCGCCGCUCGGCUGCCCACUGUGCCGGCCUCGAGCUCUGCGUUAAGCCCUCGGGCGGCCCCAGCACCCCAUCCACGGCACCCUGCCUUCCCUCCUGGCCUGCGCGGGCUCAGCAGCCAGGAGGAGACCCUCUGCCCAGAGAGUCAGAGGAGCUUUGCCUUCCUCCCGGGCAGCUGCGAGAGGAGCGACUGGGGUAGGGCUUUUGCAAGGCAAAAUGAUGGGGCCUGUGGCCAGAUCCGUAUGAGCUACCCGGCGUUUGGGCAGAGCUGGUGGGGUUGUGCCCCGCCAUCUCAAGGCAGAGGAUGGGCUGGAGCCACGGGAACCAGCGGCUUCGUGUCCCGUCGGGACGGGCUCUCGGGCAUGCUGCGUCCGUGGCCCCGAUGGAGGCGGCGCAGUGCUCUGCGCCAGGCACGCUGCCGCCCGUCUCCCCGGCGCUUGGCUCCUCUCCAAGCGGCGUUUCUCCCGUUCCAGUUUCACCCACGGCACGAGGCCGAGGCCGGGCCCAGCCGGCGUCUUUCGUCGGGAGCGGGGCGGCUCGGCCGCGCCGGGAAACAAAGGGCGCUUUCUUCGCGCGGGGCAGAGCGCGGCGGCGGGCGAGCACACCUGCCCGCCUUGGCACAGCCGCCCGACGCGCACGGCACCCCCGGGGCUGGGCGGCGCGCCGGCACCGUGCCACGGCGGCCCGUCAGCGCCGGCGUGAGCAACCAGGGCCGUGCUCGCCCGCCGCCGCGCCAGUCGCUGCGGGAGCCCUCGGAGGCUGCGCGCUCUCCGCCGCCGCAGCCGCCUGCAGCCGCCGCGGGAGAAGAGCCAUCCCCGGUGCCGGCGCCGCUCUCGUGGGUCGCUCUUCCCCGUCUGCCCGAGCGCGGCGGGGCAGCCCCUGCUCCAAGAACGCUAGGGAAGAGAAGCACGGACAUCCCCAGGCCAAUGGAUCAGAAAAUCCAGCUCCAGAAUUCGGAGAAGAACAUCCAAAGGGCGACGCGGGCGGCUUUCUGCCUCCUCCAGAUCCCGGAGCCCGACCCCUUCAGCCUGUGGGUCUAG
rnacentral:lncRNA from 1 species